AUCAUCGAGAAGAAAAAAAACACCUAGGAAAAACAAAGGGUUGAAAGUCGACCACCGUUGUGCGACUUUCAACACCACCACUGGAAACUUCUCUCUCUCUCUCUCUCUUCUCUCUGUUUCGUACCCCUCUUUCCUCAAAAGUCGAUUUAGAUCUGUGUUUUUGGUGGACGAUGUUUGUACCAAACCCUAAUUUUCGUUUGGUGUGUUGACCGUGAGUUUACAGAGAACCCUGUCCCGUGUUCUCCGAUUAGCUCUCCAGCAGCCAUCUACGGCGGAGGUUUGUUCCACCGUGAAGUGUCAGCUAUAGUGGUUGACUUGGGUUCACACACUUGCAAGGCUAGCAACGUCGGCGAAGAUGCUCCCAAGGCCGUUUUCCCUUCCGUUGUUGGGGCAGUAGCGAUGGAUGUGGAUGUUGAUUCUUCGAAGACAAAUUCCAAUUCCGAGGAUCCGAAGUCUGAAGUAUGAAAAGGGGAAGGGUGAACGCAAGCUCUACGUGGGAUCUCAAGCCUUGAAUUACUGCAGGGAUCAAAGACGGAGUUGUCUGAUUAUUGAUCCUAAGGAGCAUCCAAUGCUGCUAGCUGAGCCUCCUUUAAACACUCAACAAGCUGUAGACUACUCUGCUUUCAGGUUCUUAUGAUUUUACUCAUGUCUGUGUAUGUGUUAAUAAAUUUAUUUUCUGAUGUACAAAUCAGGUUCUUAUGAUUUUACUCAUGUCUGUGUAUGAUUUUGCUCAUGUCUGUGUAUGUGCUUAUUUAUGAUUUUACUCAUGUCUGUGUAUCUUUGUAUGGUUACUGAGAAAGAAUCUGCAGGUUUCAAGAUCCUCGGGUUGCAAGACAGACUCUCUAACAGAGUGGGAUAUUCCUUCUGGUGACACCUCUUGUGUGU